UACGUAGGUGGCAAGCGUUGUCCGGAUUUACUGGGCGUAAAGAGCGCGCAGGCGGUCGUUCAAGUCGCGUGUGAAAGCCCCCGGCUCAACUGGGGAGGGUCACGCGAUACUGAUCGACUCGAAGGCAGGAGAGGGUAGUGGAAUUCCCGGUGUAGUGGUGAAAUGCGUAGAUAUCUGGAGGAACACCGGUGGCGAAGGCGGCAUCCUGGACCGGCAGUUGACGCUGAGGCGCGAAAGCCAGGGGAGCAAAGCGGG
rnacentral:rRNA from 1 species